rnacentral:rRNA from 1 species
UACGUAGGGUCCGAGCGUUGUCCGGAAUUACUGGGCGUAAAGAGCUCGUAGGUGGUUUGUCGCGUUGUUCGUGAAAACUCACAGCUCAACUGUGGGCGUGCGGGCGAUACGGGCAGACUAGAGUUCGGCAGGGGAGACUGGAAUUCCUGGUGUAGCGGUGAAAUGCGCAGAUAUCAGGAGGAACACCGGUGGCGAAGGCGGGUCUCUGGGCCGAUACUGACGCUGAGGAGCGAAAGCGUGGGGAGCAAACAGG